GAGACACUGCUAAGCCUCCAUCAAGAUGGCAUUUUCUCUUACUGCAGUAUAAUCUUGCAAUGGUGGUUUCAAAAGCUGACUGGAAGAAAGCGGAAGGAAUGCUUGCCUCAUCUUGAAGACAUCAGGUGCAUUCCUGAGAAGCUACAGAGGGCCUCCAAAACUGUAUAUGCUUUCAGCCCUAAAAAACCAGAUCCGACCAGGGUGGAGCCAAGAUGGCCAAAUAGGAAUAGCUCCAGUCUACAGCUCCCAGCGUGAGCGACGCAGAAGACGGUGAUUUCUGCAUUUCCAUCUGAGGGGAAAGCACAAACAAAAUCCCCCACUACCACAAAUUAUGCAGUUGAGUUUCCCACAUUUGGUGAAAUCACAGGUGUCAGCACAUCCAGAGUGCAAUGGAUAAGACUUGCCAUGGGAAAACCAUCUAUGUGAUCAUGGUAUCUCCCCUGCCAGAUGGAAUCUUGCUCUGUUGCCCAGGCUGGAGUGCAGUGGCAUGAUCUCGGCUCACUGAAACCUCCACCUCUCGGGUACAAGGGAUCUCCUGCCUCAGCCUCCCAAGUAGCUGGGAUUACAGGCGCCCACCACUACGCCCAGCUAAGUUUUGUAUUUGUAGUAGAGACAGGGUUUCACCAUGUUGGCGAGGCUGGUCUCAAACUCCUGACCUCAGAUGAUCAGCCCCCUUCUGCCUCCCAAAGAGUGGGGAUUACAGGCGUGAGCCACCAUGCCCGGCCAAUCAGAUUUUCUAAGUAAGUAUUUAAGAACCAAAACAAUUUCUAAUGCAAUAUAAUGCCCCAAAUUGAACUUCAACCAAAUGUAAAUCAGUACAUUUGUAAGGUCUCCUUUUAAUAUAUGCUAAUUUAAAAUAUAUACAUAUUUCACUGAUUUUAAUGUACAAAUUAGUAAGUAUUUUUGCAAGAUAAAGAACAAAACUAUAAAGUUUCACAAACAGAAAUGGAUCUAAUGGGUCAUUUAGGGAGAAAGUUGUCUCUCUCUAAGAAGUUUUACUAGACUAAAGCACAAGAUAUUGUAUUAGUCUGUUUUCAUGCUGCUGAUAAAGCCAUAUCUGAGACUGGGAAG